GGGGAAUAUUGCGCAAUGGGGGAAACCCUGACGCAGCAAUACCGCGUGAGUGAAGAAGGUUUUCGGAUCGUAAAGCUCUGUUAUUGGGGAAGAAAAAAAGACGGUACCCAAGAAGAAAGUCCCGGCUAACUACGUGCCAGCAGCCGCGGUAAUACGUAGGGGACAAGCGUUGUCCGGAUUUACUGGGCGUAAAGGGCACGCAGGCGGUUUUUUAAGUCAGAUGUGAAAGGUACCGGCUCAACCGGUGACAUGCAUUUGAAACUGAAAGACUUGAGUAUUGGAGAGGCAAGUGGAAUUCCUAGUGUAGCGGUGAAAUGCGUAGAUAUUAGGAGGAACACCGGUGGCGAAGGCGGCUUGCUGGACAAAUACUGACGCUGAGGUGCGAAAGCGUGGGGAGCAAAC
rnacentral:rRNA from 1 species